rnacentral:rRNA from 1 species
UACGAGGGGUGCUAGCGUUGCUCGGAAUUAUUGGGCGUAAAGGGUAGGUAGGUGGUCUGAUUUGCCUGGGGUGAAAGCCUUGAGCUCAACUCAAGAAGUGCCCCAGAAACGGUCAGACUAGAGUACUGGAGAGGGUCGUGGAAUUCCCGGUGUAGCGGUGAAAUGCGUAGAGAUCGGGAGGAACACCAGUGGCGAAGGCGACUUCCUGGCCUGUUCUUGACGCUGAGGCGCGAAAGCUAGGGUAGCAAACGGG